rnacentral:rRNA from 1 species
UACGUAGGGGGCGAGCGUUGUCCGGAUUUAUUGGGCGUAAAGCGCUCGCAGGUGGUUCGAUGCGUCGUGCGUGAAAGACCCCGGCUCAACUGGGGAGGGUCGUGCGAUACGGUCGAACUGGAGGCCAGUAGGGGGAUGCGGAAUUCCGGGUGUAGUGGUGGAAUGCGUAGAGAUCCGGAGGAACACCAGCGGCGAAGGCGGCAUCCUGGACUGGUCCUGACACUCAGGAGCGAAAGCGUGGGGAGCGAUCCGG